rnacentral:rRNA from 1 species
CAGUAACGGCGAGUGAAGCGGUAACAGCUCAAAUUUGAAAUCUGGCCCCCUCGGGGCCCGAGUUGUAAUUUGGAGAAGAUGCUUUGGGUGCGGCCCCGGCCUAGGUCCCUUGGAACAGGGCGUCAUAGAGGGUGAGAACCCCGUCUGUGGCCGGCGGCCUGUGCCCGUGUAAAGCUCUUUCGACGAGUCGAGUUGUUUGGGAAUGCAGCUCAAAAUGGGUGGUAAAUUUCAUCUAAAGCUAAAUACUGGCCAGAGACCGAUAGCGCACAAGUAGAGUGAUCGAAAGAUGAAAAGCACUUUGGAAAGAGAGUUAAACAGUACGUGAAAUUGUUGAAAGGGAAGCGCUUGCAGCCAGACUCGCGGCCGUCGCUCCCCCGGUGUUCUCACCGGGGUACUCGGCGGCCCACGGGCCAGCAUCGGCCCGGGCGGCCGGACAAAGGCCGCGGGAAUGUGGCUCCCCUCGGGGAGCGUUAUAGCCCGCGGCGCAAUGCGGCCAGCCUGGACCGAGGACCGCGCUUCGGCUAGGAUGAUGGCGUAAGG